CUACAAAGGUAUAACCCCAUGGACUCCCUCUUUAAUCUUUGGCUCUGUGACGCCUAGAUUCUUGAGUAGAAAUGAUUAGAAAUGGUAGAUUUUUGUUGUGUUUGAG